UGAUCAGGGAAGACUACCCGCUGAGUUUAAGCAUAUCA
rnacentral:rRNA from 3 species